AGAAAUGUUUACGGUAAAUGAUAGUGGCAUGCAUUAUGCUACUCAAUGCCGAAUGAACAAAAACAUGCAAAAUACGAAACGAUUCUCGAAGUUCACUCGUUUACCAAAAAACAAAGCUAUAGAACCUCUCAGUUAUCAUGGUCUGUUGGAAAAUUAUCUGAACGCAUAGAUCAUACACUUAAAGCAACACAGAUUUCGAGAGAACGGUUGAAUGAAAGUUAUUGGAGUACAAGUACGAUGAAAAUGCGACUGUCCGAUCAGAUCCUUCACAAUGCAACACAACAUUAAAGUACAAUUUGUUAACUGGUUAACUGAUUCAUCUUAUAAAAGACCUAGCUC